UACGUAGGGCGCAAGCGUUGUCCGGAAUUAUUGGGCGUAAAGAGCUCGUAGGCGGUUUGUCGCGUCUGCUGUGAAAACCUAAGGCUCAACCUUGGGCUUGCAGUGGGUACGGGCAGGCUAGAGUGUGGUAGGGGAGACUGGAAUUCCUGGUGUAGCGGUGGAAUGCGCAGAUAUCAGGAGGAACACCGAUGGCGAAGGCAGGUCUCUGGGCCACUACUGACGCUGAGAAGCGAAAGCAUGGGGAGCGAACAGG
rnacentral:rRNA from 1 species